UUUCCGUAGGUGAACCUGCGGAAGGAUCAUUAUUGUAUAACCGAGGUGCGAGGGCUGUCGCUGACCCGAAAGGUCGUGCACGCCCGAGUGCCCUCACACACAUCCAUCUCACCCCUAUGUGCACCACCGCGUGGGUCCCCCUUUGGCUUGUUCGGAGGGGGGCUUACGUUUUCACACAAACUUUGUAUGCAGUGUAGAAUGUAUUUUUUGUUCUUGCGAUCACGCAAUCAAUACAACUUUCAACAACGGAUCUCUUGGCUCUCGCAUCGAUGAGAACGCAGC
rnacentral:misc_RNA from 1 species